rnacentral:misc_RNA from 1 species
UAGCAUAGUGUACCAUGCUGUACUAUACAGUACGAGCAUAGUAAAAUAUAGUUCAAUGCGACAUAGUAUAAUGUAACAUAGCAUAACGUCGAAUAUAUGCUUUAAUAUCGUGCUCUUGCAAAAGACUGCCAACUUUUUUAGCGAGAGAGUUAAUCAUCGGUACGCAUGACGUGUAUACGAACGAAGUUCUGAUGAACUUUUUGCAUCCUCGAGUUUCACCCUCGAUGGCGAUCAAGUUCCACAUGAGAUACAUUCAACAAGAGAAUACGUAUCGAUACACAAAUUCUUAUGUUACACGAGGUAACCAAGGUAACAAAGCUUGUCGAAAGGCAAGUCGUCCAUCGAACGACUCGAUGAAAUCCACGAAGAAUGCGUCACUCGAAACGAUAUUACCAACCCAUCGGGUUAAUUGAACCAUAACAAAUUUCUCGAGGAAAGCCAAGGCUCUCACUUUCUCAUGUUUUUGCUUGGCGACCGUGUAACAGGAGAAUCGAAUCGACCGGUACAGUUUCGAGCGAAGAAGAGAAGCAUGGGAUCCUGGGGACACGUUCAUCCCUGGUCCCGCAUUUCGGAUCCUGUGACGAUCCGCCUUUGUGGGUGGUAGAUGGAAUAAGAACGAGGGAAGAACCCCUCGUUCUUCGUCGACCUCCGCUUCGUUCUCCUCGUUCAGACCUAACCAUUGUACAUACGAUAUACUAUUAUACACUACGGUUCAAAAGUAUCUGGAUAUUUGGUUAUUUUUCACAGGAUGCAAUUUAGUGUAAUUACGGACAAGAGAAUUUACGAUGAUUUUCAUUGCUUAUGAUUAACGCUAGGAUUAUUUGUCGACGAUUGAACGUACAAAACUUGCACCGG